rnacentral:rRNA from 1 species
UACAGAGGGGGCAAGCGUUGUUCGGAAUUACUGGGCGUAAAGGGCGCGUAGGCGCCCGCUAAGUCGAACGUGAAAUCCCCGGGCUCAACCCGGGAACUGCGUCCGAUACUGGCAGGCUUGAAUCCGGGAGAGGGAUGCGAAUUCCAGGUGUAGCGGUGAAAUGCGUAGAUAUCAAGAGGAACACCUGAGGUGAAGACGGGUUGCUGGGCUGAUACUGACGCUGAGGCGCGAAGCUAGGGUAGCAAACGGG